AGUGAGAGCUGGGCUUGAAACCUAAAACUUUUGGCGGUUCUUUAGACUAGUUAGAGGAAUUUGCUGCGUAAUGGAUGAUCCUCAUUAGAUUUUACUUUUUUCUUAAAUACCGCCGUCGACGACAGGUCAAGGUUUAGCAGAUGAAGAAGGUUGAAGGUGGAUUUAAAGGUUGAUAGUGGAUUAUUGGGCUCUAAGGAAUGU
rnacentral:rRNA from 1 species